ACCGUUACUUGGACUUUAGGCUAAGAUCAAGUGUAGUAUCUGUCUUAUCAGUUUAAUAUCUGAUAUGUGGGCCAUGUGUCCACUUUGAUAUUAAAUUUAUUUCCUGUCGGGGGAGGGCCCACCACAGUAGCUUGCUGCUGGGACUCUCACGUGUCGUCCUAGCGUUGCACUACUGCUUAGGCAUGGCGCACCCCAA
rnacentral:snRNA from 1 species